rnacentral:rRNA from 1 species
GACGAACGCUGGCGGCGUGCUUAACACAUGCAAGUCGAACGGUAAGGCCUCGGGUACGACGAGUGGCGAACGGGUGGAGUAACACGUGGGUGGAUCUGCCCUCGCACUUCGGGAGUAAGCUUGGGAAACUGGGUCUAAUACCGGAUAGGACCACGGUCUGCAUGGAUUGUGGUGGAAAGCUUUUGUCGGUGUGGGAGUGGGCCCGCGGCCUAUCAGCUUGUUGGUGGGGUGAUGGCCUACCAAGGCGGACGACGGUAGCGGCCUGAGAGGGUGUCCGGCCACACUGGGACUGAGAUACGGCCCAGACUCCUACGGGAGGCAGCAGUGGGGAAUAUUGCACAAUGGGCGCAAGCCUGAUGCAGCGACGCCGCGUGGGGGAGUACGGCCUCGGUU